AAUGUUCCGGGUUCGAUCUCUGCAGGAAAUAUCGCGUCAUCGUUACUCAUCGUCACUCGGUGCCCUGGACACGAUGCAUCACGAAGAUGAAAACCAUAAACGACCCUUUUCCGAACUCCCACCAUCAUUUUACAGAUGUCAUAUCACGUCGUAUAUCUCUACGUUACAGCAGUGACUAAUGAAUCCAUGCCAAUUGUUCAACAACGAAUCUAGAGGAGAUUUAAAAUUUUGUCUUUCAUAAAACAUAUUUAAUUAUCAAAUUUUAUGUGAAACAUGUUAAGCGAGUGCAUUUUAAGACUAUUUAUAGCCUAUUAAAACCUAAUUGCCGAUAGAAGAGGAACUUUAACCCACGAUAGUUCAUCGAUGAUGUGGUUAUCUUCCGUUAAAAUCGCUGAUAUCCUUUUUCUUCAGCCUCUCCUCGAUAACCUUUUUCUUAAGCGUCCUUUUGCGAAGAACACUUUUACGCUCUUUUAAUUAAAUUGUUAAAUAUCGUCGUCAAUCUUCCCCUGGUACCUUCUCGAACUUGGAAAAUUGUUUGUCGAACGUAGCAAAACGACGAGUAAAUAUUUCCUCUUAAACUAGAGUUAGAAAAAUAACGACUGAGAUUUUCAGACGAAAAUUAUUCGUUCAGAUUCAGAGAUUGUUUUCCCCUUAAUUUUCAUAGCGUGCGUACCUUCGACAAGGUUUGUCGGAUUCUAAUAACUUCCGUUCAAGGCCUGGUAUCGAUAAUCCCAUUGUGAAGUGGGUAUCGAGAAAACUCCGGGGUUGAAUGGAGUGCCGUAGUACCGCAGGAGACUGCUAAUGCACUGUCAACAAUGGAUCUUUCACCGCGAAAUCUCUUCCUCCUGGAACGAAUUCACCCUCUACCGAUUCCUGAACCGUGAUUAUUAUUAACAUUUAAACGAAUACUAUAUGGAAAAAAUAAUAAUUUAAAAUUUGAAGCAGAGGAAGUAAUAAUAAUAUGCAUGAUUCACUUUCGUUAAAGUCUGAAAAUAUUCUUCAAUUUAUAAUUUUACUAUCGUGCUCAAUUAAAAGCUUGGUUGUUUUGCAUUUACUUGUUCGAAAUAGAUAGAUUGGAUGAAAUAGAAAUAAAAUAGAGUAUUGUAAUAAAGAAAGGUGCUACAAUAAACACGUUUGACAAUAGGAAUGAUUGUUAGGACCUCCAAUUCUUAAAACAGAAUCCGACUGUUCUAAUUUUAGCUCGACGCUUCUUGGUUACCGCCACUUGUUGCCUCCUACUUACAAUUGUGCUAUUCUCACUCCGUUUCUAUCGCACUGCUUCAAUGGUCACGACGAAUACAUUUUCAGAAUACAUGAUUCGCAUCAAAAACAGUCUCGAAAAAGUUCAUACGUUCUAAUAAAUGACACUAUUACGAGUAACAUACUUAAUCGUUGCAAUGACAGGUUGGUUGGAAAGAUAUUUUAGGUAGGAAUUAUUAUGAGAAGUCUUGAAGGCUCUAAUUAUAGUUUAAAACCAAGUGGAUUUAAAUCUAGGCUAUCAAGGAGCGAGUCUUGAGCUGAAAUGAAUUCUUGGAAAUUGUUCCGCGGCCACUCUCGAGUUGUUUUCUGAUUAGUGGGAACUACUCUUUGUAAGCUGCGGAGAAGUCUUGUUAAAACCCACCUUUGCCGUCGAGAGAGUGGCCGCUCUGCUACUUGGACACCACGAGUGCCUUCUGAAUGAACUGAGGAUAAUAAUAAUAAUAAUAAUAAUAAUAAAAAAAGGGAUGCGACUAAAUUAACGAAGACGAUUACAUUGUAAUAUGUUUGAUUAUAGGUUGAGGAUUACUUGACUGAAUCGGUCAAAAUUCACUGGAAAGUAAAAUUAAGAAGAAUGGUUGAUUGUUUGCAAAAAAAAAAAAAAAAAAAUUACAAACAAUGUAUACAUACAAUUGUCUAAUAAUUUUAUUUGUUUUUAGAUAAUCAGAACAAGAGAAUUUGGAAGCCUGCAGUGAAUAUAACGCGCCAAAAGAAAAGGGAAGUAAAUAAGGGAUGAUAGUCCCGAUGGAAAAAUCCGCGAAUGAGAAGUUCGUAGUUGAAAGGGUAGUUAAAAAGAAAAUUAAUAAAUGCGGAAGUUUCGAUCACGUGGGUGACUGGUGGUCGGUGGUCCAUGAAGAACAUUCAAUAUCGAAUCAUCGAGGGAAGAAACGGUCCUCGAAGAACUAUGUGUUUGACCAACUUCCUAAAAGUGGUGGCAGUUUGUGGUGGGGUGACGACAGUAGUAGAGAGAGAGAGAGAGAGAGAGAGGGAGAGGGGUUGGAACGAGCAUGAAAGCACGAGGAAGAGGAUCAGUGUACCAGAGAAAGAGGGUAGCGGCAAGUGCGGAGCUGCCACCCUUCGUCAGCUGUCCUGUACGAGGCAGCCAGUACGCGUCGUGGCUUCGCCACGUGCUUCUCGUGUCUUUGGAAAGUUUUGUGACCGAUCAUUGUGCGCCAAGUUUUCUCAUUUUCGACGGGUUCCCGCUCGUCCAGACUCGAGACACGAGCUUCCGUGAUUUCACAAUGGGAUCGAUUGAAAGGAUUUCGACGAACUCAUCAUCAGCGUUCAUCGUUUGGUUCUCGUGACUGUGCGAUGAGGGGACCAUUACAACGUCACCGAUGGAACCUCCAAUCUGCGAAGAUCGAGCAUAAUAGAAGCAGAAAGUGUCGAAACGCUCGGCGUUUGAAGCGAAUUGAUGAACGAACCACGACGCGUUGUAAGGGAGGAUCAGUCCCAGGACAUCAUGAAGCAGCAAGUCCUACUGGCCCUCGCCAAUCUAAUCACAUCCUACGCAUCUUUUCUAGCUGCGACGGGGACGAAACCGUCCACGAGGCAGAGGACGCAGAGCAACAAUCACAGCAACAUCAGCGAUCUGCUGGACAAUCUGCUUCGCGGUUACGACAACAGCGUUAGACCGGACUUCGGUGGACCGCCGGCCACCGUUGAGGUCGACAUCAUGGUACGCAGUAUGGGUCCGAUUUCAGAAAUUGAUAUGACGUACUCGAUGGAUUGCUAUUUUCGUCAAUCAUGGGUGGAUCGACGUUUGGCUUUUCAAGGGGGUAAGGAGACGCUGGCGCUCAGUAUAUCGAUGCUGAAGAGGAUCUGGAAACCGGACACGUACUUUUACAACGGCAAGCACAGUUACUUGCACACGAUCACCAGCCCCAACAAGUUCGUCAGACUCUAUCAAGACGGCAGAGUGCUCUACAGUUCGAGGCUCACGAUCAAAGCUGGAUGUCCCAUGAAUCUCGAAAAUUUCCCGAUGGACACGCAGAGGUGUCCCCUGCAAUUUGGCAGCUUCGGUUACACGAAGAGGGACGUGGUCUACAAAUGGAACAGCGCGCGACAAGUGGCAAUCGCGGAGGACAUGAAAUUAUCUCAAUUCGAUCUGGUCGCCAAUCCAACUGCGAAUCAUUCCACGUUACCUACUCCCGCGCACGCCGAUUACUCGAUGCUGCUGGUGCACUUUCACCUUCAAAGGCACAUGGGCAAUUUUCUCAUACAAGUAUACGGACCUUGUGUAUUACUGGUCGUUCUAUCCUGGGUGUCCUUCUGGUUAAAUAGAGAAGCCACUGCUGAUCGCGUGUCGCUCGGGAUAACCACCGUGCUGACGAUGACGUUUCUGGGAUUGGAGGCCCGCACCGACCUGCCGAAAGUUCCUUAUCCCACUGCCCUAGACUUCUUCGUCUUCCUCUCGUUCGGGUUCAUUUUCGCCACCAUCAUACAAUUCGCAGUAGUCCACUACUUCACCAAGUACGGAUCAGGGGAGUGUUACUUCAGCUCCGACCUCAGUGAAACCGAGAGUUCCAGCGACGAAGAAGAACAACCCCCGCGACCGGUAUCGCAGCUGUCACAAGUGGCACCAGUGGCCCAGGUCCACGCAAAAUCUCCGAGCACCUCAACGGGCAGGGAGAAUCCCAGCCGCAAUUUCACCAUGAACGAGGCUGGUUUGAUCGAGGUGAUACCUCUAUCCGCGAUUCCAACUCCCAGCAGGGAUCCUAGGCUUGGCCACUGGCAGAUGUCCUGCGUGGCCUGUAGUCCACCUCCGCGUCAACCUCCACCUCCACGACAACCUCCGCCACCUACAGUGAAGCAAACCACUGGCAGAAAACGACGCAGAAGAACGCCCAGGUACAACUCGGUUUCGAAGAUAGACCGCGCGAGCCGCGUCGUAUUUCCUCUGCUCUUCAUGACGUUGAACGUCUUUUACUGGUACGCCUACCUGAAGAGGAGCGAACGCAUAACGUCUCACAACACGUGAGACAAGCCAGCAAAUCCGAAGGAAUUUCGAGCUCGUCGGGGAAACUCGAGGAUAAGUCCGUCUUCUUGGUCGACCAAUCUACAAUAGGUACAUUAAGUAAACGUGUACACGGAACGGGAAUUGUUUCGUCAAUCGUUUCGGAAUCUUUAUCGAGCUUUAGGCGAGGACUGAGCAGAUCUCUGUGAACACUACAGGGCAAAUGUAUGCAUGGAUGUGUGUGGAUGUAUCAGUUGCGCUGUGUUCUUGUCAGCUGAGGAAGCCAUAAUUGGCUCGACGAUACUUCCUCUGAAAAUGUGACCAAGACCCAAGUCGAGCGAACUAGAGGAGCAGCGACAAGAUGUACUCUUCUCGUUAGGAACAUUAUUCAAUUGCUGAUGAAGCCGCACAAAUUUUCCUACACGAAGAGUUUCCCAGAAGGGAAAAAGACUUCAGGAUUUUUUUUUUUGGUAAAACGUUGACGAUCCAGGAUCCAACAGAUAUCCAGCUAUCGAUAGACCCUGGGUCUCUAUUUAUCAUACUUCAAAAAAUGAUUCCUUCUUUACCGCCAAUACUUGAGACCGAACCAAGUUUCGAAAGCAUUUAAUCAUCGAUUGAAUGGUGUUCCUGACCAGCUGACGUGAAUUCGUGUCGCCAGAUAUACAGGGUAUCUCAUUUUAAUCAGUCCAAAAUUACUAGCAUAUUUUAUCCUAUACAUUCUUACCGACAGAGUGCUCUACCUUGUCGACACAAUACUCUACCUUACACACCCUUACCAACAGAAUACUCUACCUGCUAUAGUUUCCUCUAUACAUGAUUCAGGUAAGGAAACAUAAUUUUUUGUUGUAUCUACGUUCGUUUAAUUUAUGUUGGGCAAUCCUGUAUAUCUGAAUCUAGUAAAGACUGCAGCAAACUUUUGGUGUACGAUUACUAGGCUGCAGAAAAAAUAUGCAGAAUAUACGAGCAAGUGAUGUAUAGAUUAUACUGAACGAACAUAUAUGCAUAACAUGUGUGUGAUAUGCAAACGCAUGUCUACGACUGUGACUGUGGUCAUAACGAUUUAUGAGUUACAAUGAUAAUGAUAACGAUGAUGAUGGUUAUUAAGGUUUUGGUUGCUAUAUCUAGAUAUAAUGAUGAUGACAGCGACAUUUGCACAUAGUGCAUACAUGCGGCACACUUGCAUGUAUUCAUAAGUGCAUACAAAGUAUGCUUUUGCAUAAACAUCUGCAGUCUAAUAAUUACGAAUGUCUAAUUACAGAUCGCAAGUGUAGUUUGUAAUUAACGAUCGAAUUAACGAUUGAUCGAUUAAUGAUUAUUUUUAUCAUGAUUACCUCGUUAAUCAAUUACAGAAGUGAUACCAAAAUAAUCGAUUACUGCCGAAGUCUGCCCGAAGAUGUUCAGUCUAUAAUCUGAGGAUUAACACUCGCCACCCGUAUGUUUGUGGGAGAACAAGUUUCAAGUACAAAUGAUGUGAUGUGUAUGAUAAAUAUAUUAAAAGCUGUUUUAAAUUCCUAUUGAAUGUAAGUUACAUUAAGCAAGGAGAAAGGAAAAAGGCACGAACCAGUAUGUUCUGUGUCAAGGUGUAUAUAUUGUCAAAGAGAAAUAUGGAAAAUAUGUUUUAACCUUUAGAGGAACGUUUAGCGAAUGAAAAUAGAAGAAUCAAAUUAUAAUGCGUAUUAGGUGCGACAAUAAAAAUCAAUUUUAAAAACA